rnacentral:rRNA from 1 species
AUUGAACGCUGGCGGCAGGCCUAACACAUGCAAGUCGAGCGGAGCGGCGGACGGGUGCGUAAUGCCUAGGCAUCUACCUGGUAGUGGUGGAUAACGUCCGGAAACGGGCGCUAAUACCGCAUACUAUCCUAUGAGCCUAGGUCGGAUUAGCUAGUUGGUGGGGUAAAGGCCUAACAAGGCGACGAUCCGUAACUGGUCUGAGUGGAUGAUCAGUCACACGGGAACUGAGACACGGUCCAGACUCCUACGGUAGGCAGCAGGGGGGAAUGUUGGACAAUGGGCGAAAGCCUGAUCCAGCAAGGCCGCGUGUGUGAAGAAGGUCUUCGGAUUGUAAAGCACUGUAAGUUGGGAGGCGUUACCAACAGAAUAAGCACCGGCUAACUUCGUGCCAGCCGCCGCGGUAAUAC